rnacentral:rRNA from 1 species
UACGGAGGGAGCUAGCGUUAUUCGGAAUUACUGGGCGUAAAGCGCACGUAGGCGGCUUUGUAAGUCAGAGGUGAAAGCCUGGAGCUCAACUCCAGAACUGCCUUUGAGACUGCAUCGCUUGAAUCCAGGAGAGGUGAGUGGAAUUCCGGGUGUAGAGGUGAAAUUCGUAGAUAUUCGGAAGAACACCAGUGGCGAAGGCGGCCCCCUGGUUGGAUACUGACGCUGAUACGCGAAAGCGUGGGGAGCAAACAGA